UGGCGGCGUGCCUAAUACAUGCAAGUCGAGCGAAUGGAUUAAGAGCUUGCUCUUAUGAAGUUAGCGGCGGACGGGUGAGUAACACGUGGGUAACCUGCCCAUAAGACUGGGAUAACUCCGGGAAACCGGGGCUAAUACCGGAUAACAUUUUGCACCGCAUGGUGCGAAAUUCAAAGGCGGCUUCGGCUGUCACUUAUGGAUGGACCCGCGUCGCAUUAGCUAGUUGGUGAGGUAACGGCUCACCAAGGCAACGAUGCGUAGCCGACCUGAGAGGGUGAUCGGCCACACUGGGACUGAGACACGGCCCAGACUCCUACGGGAGGCAGCAGUAGGGAAUCUUCCGCAAUGGACGAAAGUCUGACGGAGCAACGCCGCGUGAGUGAUGAAGGCUUUCGGGUCGUAAAACUCUGUUGUUAGGGAAGAACAAGUGCUAGUUGAAUAAGCUGGCACCUUGACGGUACCUAACCAGAAAGCCACGGCUAACUACGUGCCAGC
rnacentral:rRNA from 1 species